CCUGCUUAGACAAAGGCUGCCCUUGGAGCCCCAACACACCCCAAACCACGCUUUGAAGGAUCUGCCAAGCUCACUUUUAAUCAUGAGAAAGAAAUUACCCACAUGGAGACAGCAGAAAAUGAGAAAGUUGAGCUCGUGCUGCGAAUAAUUCCAGCGAGUGCCAAGGGGCUAGUUGAGGAAUGACUUCAUGAGG
rfam:Ictidomys tridecemlineatus contig024811, whole genome shotgun sequence.